CCAUCCCUGGAGGUGUUUAAGCAUGGUGUGGACGUGGCACUAAGGGACGUGGCUUAGUGAUGGCACUUGGUGAUCCUGCAGGUCUUUUCCAACCUGGAUGAUUCUAUGAUCCAAGAGUGCUGGGGCCGGUACCCUGCAGGUUUUGACACCCUGAACCUCAGGAGGUGAAUCACGGACUGGGACUUCUCAGCAAAUGGCCCCAGGGAGAGCUCAGCACCCAAGCAAAUGUCCUAAGGGAGACCUCAGCACCCAGCCAGCUACCUCUCAGGUGGGUUGCACCUUCCUGGUGGUGGGAGCCUGUCCCAGCGCCGUUCCUGGCUGACAUUUGGCAGAAACCCCUCUCCCUGCCGGGCGUUCCCAGUUGUCCCGCGGCCACCCUGUCCCCACCUGAAGACCCAGUGCCACCAGCCCCGGAGCUGUCACUCGUGCGGCGAUGCCGGGGUCACAUUGAGCCCUCCCGGCCCCGCAGCAGGCAGCGCGAGCUGUCUGCUGCCUCUGACAACUCAUCCGUCACGGAGCAGGGCCAGCGGCUGCGAGAUGCCGCGGAAGGGAGAGAAUUAAAAGAGGGAGAGAGAAAGAGCAAUCAAUACAUUAUUUAACAGCGGGAAUGCAAAUGACAAAAAAUUAAUGAGGCCUCUCCCCCCCUCCGCCCCCUCCCCCAGCCCUCCUUUGCAGUGAGAUUGCUGACAAAUUCUCUGGAAAAUAUCAAAACAGCCGGAGGGUGUAACCUGCCAGAGUGAUGCACCAUUAUCUAUUAUUGAUGGAAACCUUGACAAGUUCCCUUUAAAAAAAGGAGAGAGAAAGGGAGGGAGAGAGGGGAAAAAAACGCAUCUAAUCUUUGUUUUAAAGCUACAGUUUCUCGUUUUCUCUCCCCCGAGGGCGGACGAGCUGCAGAAGUCCUCCCAGCACGGCUCUGCCCAGCGAUGCUCCCAGCCUGCGGGCUGGAGCUGAGGGGGACGGGGUGCCAGAGGCAGGGUGGUUGUUGCUCCCUCCUCCCUCAGCCCCAUAAAGAGUCUUUUAAGCCUCAUUUAAAGAUGCAAGAGGGCUGAGCUGAUGGAGAUGACACUUGGGAUCGUGUUUGGGGAGAAUUUGGGGCCCCUGGAGCAGGGGGAGCAGAGGAUCAAAGCAAGCCCACAGGAGAGGUUGGCCAUGAGACGGGCUGAAUUCCUUCUAGGAAAAGAGACUAGAGGAAAAAAUACCCAGCAAGUCCCCAAAGUGAGUCAGAACCACUGCUGAGUGGCAGAGAGGCAAGAGACCACAGGAGCCAGCUAGCAGCAGCUAUCGAGCAUGCUGGCGAGCGACACACUGCAGGGAUUAAUACUUUAUAAAUGUCACUGGCCUCCUGACAGGCUCCUGUAUAAUCCUUUUCUUCAGCCUCUUACAGCAAAACCCCCCAAACAACCCACGUCCCUCCUCCCACCUGUUCCACCAUCCCCAUGCCAGCAUCCCUGAGCCGCCUCACCCUGAAUUGGUGGCCUGGCUCCCUUUUUACUCGGGCUCCUCUUUCCAGAGCUCACCACCAGGAAGGCAGUGCCCUUCACCAUGCCUCAUUUUCUCAGGGCACACACAGAGACAGCCAUGGGCACUCACACCAAGUCCCUCAAGGACGCCGAGGGAUUUGUUCCAGGCAGGUGCUGAAAUCCAGCCCCGAAAUCCCCAUCCUCUGGCUGGGAGCUUCAGGAAUUUCCCCUGGAGCUGCAAGGAGCUGAGUCUCGAUGUCCACCCAAAGUGCUGCGCCUGGUCCCAUCUCCCCAUGCAGGCUGAAGCACUGAGGACCAGAAGAAGAAAAAGACGAUAACAAAGACAGUAACACAACUGGAGAGACUUGUGCUGAGAUGCUCCAGCUCCUGCAGCAGGGCUCCUUGGCACACCUUGGGCAAGGAAAGCAGCUCUUUGUGGAGCUGAGGGUCACCCCUGGGCCAGCUGCAGGGGACAGAAAGCAGCCAGAGCAGUGCUGCAAGUGCUGCGUCCAGCCAGAGCAUUGUUUUUGCUUGUCCACCAUCCGUCU